rnacentral:rRNA from 1 species
GGGUUGUGAGGUUAAGCGACUAAGCGUACACGGUGGAUGCCCUGGCAGUCAGAGGCGAUGAAGGACGUGCUAAUCUGCGAUAAGCGUCGGUGAGGUGAUAUGAACCGUUAUAACCGGCGAUUUCCGAAUGGGGAAACCCAGUGUGUUUCGACACACUAUCAUUAACUGAAUCCAUAGGUUAAUGAGGCGAACCGGGGGAACUGAAACAUCUAAGUACCCCGAGGAAAAGAAAUCAACCGAGAUUCCCCCAGUAGCGGCGAGCGAACGGGGAGGAGCCCAGAGCCUGAAUCAGUGUGUGUGUUAGUGGAAGCGUCUGGAAAGGCGUGCGAUACAGGGUGACAGCCCCGUACACAAAAAUGCACAUGCUGUGAGCUCGAUGAGUAGGGCGGGACACGUGGUAUCCUGUCUGAAUAUGGGGGGACCAUCCUCCAAGGCUAAAUACUCCUGACUGACCGAUAGUGAACCAGUACCGUGAGGGAAAGGCGAAAAGAACCCCGGCGAGGGGAGUGAAAAAGAACCUGAAACCGUGUACGUACAAGCAGUGGGAGCCUCUUAAUGGGGUGACUGCGUACCUUUUGUAUAAUGGGUCAGCGACUUAUAUUCUGUAGCAAGGUUAACCGAAUAGGGGAGCCGAAGGGAAACCGAGUCUUAACUGGGCGUUAAGUUGCAGGGUAUAGACCCGAAACCCGGUGAUCUAGCCAUGGGCAGGUUGAAGGUUGGGUAACACUAACUGGAGGACCGAACCGACUAAUGUUGAAAAAUUAGCGGAUGACUUGUGGCUGGGGGUGAAAGGCCAAUCAAACCGGGAGAUAGCUGGUUCUCCCCGAAAGCUAUUUAGGUAGCGCCUCGUGAAUUCAUCUCCGGGGGUAGAGCACUGUUUCGGCAAGGGGGUCAUCCCGACUUACCAACCCGAUGCAAACUGCGAAUACCGGAGAAUGUUAUCACGGGAGACACACGGCGGGUGCUAACGUCCGUCGUGAAGAGGGAAACAACCCAGACCGCCAGCUAAGGUCCCAAAGUCAUGGUUAAGUGGGAAACGAUGUGGGAAGGCCCAGACAGCCAGGAUGUUGGCUUAGAAGCAGCCAUCAUUUAAAGAAAGCGUAAUAGCUCACUGGUCGAGUCGGCCUGCGCGGAAGAUGUAACGGGGCUAAACCAUGCACCGAAGCUGCGGCAGCGACACUAUGUGUUGUUGGGUAGGGGAGCGUUCUGUAAGCCUGUGAAGGUGUGCUGUGAGGCAUGCUGGAGGUAUCAGAAGUGCGAAUGCUGACAUAAGUAACGAUAAAGCGGGUGAAAAGCCCGCUCGCCGGAAGACCAAGGGUUCCUGUCCAACGUUAAUCGGGGCAGGGUGAGUCGACCCCUAAGGCGAGGCCGAAAGGCGUAGUCGAUGGGAAACAGGUUAAUAUUCCUGUACUUGGUGUUACUGCGAAGGGGGGACG